UACGGGGGGGGCAAGCGUUGUUCGGAAUUACUGGGCGUAAAGGGCUCGUAGGUGGCCAACUAAGUCAGAUGUGAAAGCCCCGGGCUUAACCUGGGAACUGCGUCUGAUACUGGAUGGCUUGAGUUCGGGAGAGGAUGCGGAAUUCCAGGUGUAGCGGUGAAAUGCGUAGAUAUCUGGAGGAACACCGGUGGCGAAGGCGGCAUCCUGGACCGACACUGACGCUGAGGAGCGAAAGCCAGGGAGCAAACGGGG
rnacentral:rRNA from 1 species